GACGAACGCUGGCGGCGUGCUUAACACAUGCAAGUCGAACGGAAAGGCCCUGCUUUUGUGGGGUGCUCGAGUGGCGAACGGGUGAGUAACACGUGAGUAACCUGCCCUUGACUUUGGGAUAACUUCAGGAAACUGGGGCUAAUACCGGAUAGGAGCUCCUGCUGCAUGGUGGGGGUUGGAAAGUUUCGGCGGUUGGGGAUGGACUCGCGGCUUAUCAGCUUGUUGGUGGGGUAGUGGCUUACCAAGGCUUUGACGGGUAGCCGGCCUGAGAGGGUGACCGGCCACAUUGGGACUGAGAUACGGCCCAGACUGCAACGGGAGGCAGCAGUGGGGAAUAUUGCACAAUGGGCGGAAGCCUGAUGCAGCAACGCCGCGUGCGGGAUGACGGCCUUCGGGUUGUAAACAGAUUUCGCCUGUGACGAAGAGUGAGUGACGGUAAUGGGUAAAGAAGCACCGGCUAACUACGUG
rnacentral:rRNA from 1 species